AUGCUAACUUCAGCAGCACAUUUACUAAAAGUGGAACGAUACAAAGAAGAUUAGCAAUGGUCCCUGCACAAGGAUGACAGGUAAAUUUGUGAAGCAUUCCAUAUUUUU
ensembl:snRNA U6 U6 spliceosomal RNA